CUACAUUCUUCUUUCCCCCCCUUUUAUCACGAUCACUCUAGAAUCGACCACAAAAUCCCAUAGCAUCGUGCUUGUGAAGGACAUAAAAAGCUAAUGGGGUGUUGCUUGCCCUUUCCGUUUGAUCUUCUCACUACUUCAGAUCAAUUUUUUCAUGGGAUGGUGACAAGUUUUGUCUGAAUGUUCAGGAGAAAAGUUAUGUCCUAGUUUUACAGAUUUGGCAAUGGAGUCUUUCUUUUUUGGGGACCGUACGUUGUCUUAUGGAAGAGUAGAAUCCAACAGCCUAUGCCCCAAGUUUUUAAUACUUUGAAUAUAGGUUUUGGUGAAUUUAUUUCACUCGCCAUUUUCUUCUUCUUUUUUUCUUUGAUGGCAAGAGAUGAGAUGUUAUUAAAAAUCAGAGCACCCAUGAGAACUCCUAUAACCACCGCACCAGCCUAUCAGUUUCCACCAGGCCUCAGCCCCUCACCAUAGCCAGAGUUCCAUCCUGUCACAUACCCAGAGACCUUCACUUCCUCACAAUUCAGAACACUUAACUCUCUGCCCUCCUCUCUCUCUCUCUCUCCCCCUCGUUGUAUGUGCCAAUGGUCAUCAAUAACUGAAAAAACCAGUUAUAAAACCUUGAAAGAAAAAGAAAAGAAAAGAAAAGAAAAGAGAAAACACCAUACCAUGUCAACAAAUUCUAUCGAUGGGGAAGCAAACACAGACCAAGAGUCUCUUAUAAUUCCUCUCCUGUCCCCUCGAAGAUCAUUUAUUAACUCCACUUCUCAGGUUGCCAUCGUUGGAGCUAAUGUCUGCCCCAUCGAAAGUCUUGAUUAUGAGAUUGCUGAGAAUGAGUUCUUUAAACAAGAUUGGAGGAGUCGUGGAAAGAUGCAAAUAUUUCAGUAUGUGUUCAUGAAGUGGUCGCUUUGUUUCUUGAUCGGACUGAUUGUUAGCCUUGUUGGGUUUUUUAACAAUCUUGCUGUUGAAAAUAUUGCUGGCUUGAAGUUUGUGGUCACCUCCAAUAUGAUGAUGGCCAACAGGUUUUGGAUGGCUUUUCUAGUGUUCUCAGUUUCUAAUUUGAUUCUUACCCUGUUUGCAUCCAUCAUCACGGCCUUUAUAGCACCAGCUGCUGCUGGUUCAGGUGUUCCAGAAGUUAAGGCUUACCUGAAUGGUGUGGAUGCACCAGGAAUUCUUUCCUUGAGAACUUUGUUUAUUAAGAUUAUUGGAAGCAUUUCUGCGGUUUCCUCAUCUCUUUUUGUUGGAAAGGCAGGGCCAAUGGUGCACACUGGAGCUUGUGUUGCAGCAUUGCUUGGUCAGGGUGGAUCCAAGAGAUUUAAAUUAACAUGGAGAUGGCUUCGUUUUUUCAAAAAUGACCGAGACCGACGGGAUCUUGUAACAUGUGGAUCAGCUGCUGGAAUAGCUGCUGCCUUCCGUGCCCCAGUUGGAGGUGUGCUGUUUGCACUUGAAGAAAUGGCAUCUUGGUGGAGAAGUGCCCUUCUUUGGAGAGCUUUCUUCACAACAGCAGUAGUUGCAUUAGUGCUUCGGGCUCUGAUUGACGUUUGUUUAAGUGGAAAAUGUGGGCUAUUUGGAAAAGGAGGGCUCAUAAUGUUUGAUGUGUAUUCAGCAAGUGUUACGUACCACCUUAUUGAUGUACCACCUGUGCUCACCCUUGGAGUUAUAGGAGGCAUAUUGGGAAGUUUGUAUAACUUCCUUCUAGACAAGGUUCUUCGAAUUUACAAUCUCAUCAAUGAUAAAGGCGUUGUUCACAAAAUUGUACUUGCUUGUGCAAUUUCCAUUUUCACAUCCUGUCUUCUUUUUGGACUACCAUGGCUUGCCUCUUGCCAACCCUGUCCAUCUGAUGCAUCGGAAGCUUGUCCAACAAUAGGCCGGUCUGGUAAUUUCAAGAAAUUUCAAUGUCCUCCAGGACAUUACAAUGAUCUGGCUAGCCUUAUAUUUAACACAAAUGAUGAUUCUAUUAGGAAUCUUUUCAGCCGGGACACCAACUCUGAGUUUCACUAUUCGUCAAUUCUCAUAUUCUUUGUGACCUGCUUCUUUCUUAGUAUCUUUAGCUAUGGUAUUGUUGCCCCCGCGGGUUUAUUCAUACCAGUUAUCGUGACGGGUGCAUCUUAUGGACGUUUUGUUGGAAUGCUUGUUGGUUCACACUCAAAUCUUGAUCACGGCCUCUAUGCUGUCUUAGGUGCUGCUUCAUUUCUAGGCGGAUCUAUGAGGAUGACAGUUUCUCUGUGUGUCAUUAUUUUAGAAUUGACAAAUAAUCUGUUGCUGCUACCCUUGAUAAUGCUUGUUCUUCUUACUUCCAAGACUGUGGCUGAUGCUUUCAAUGGUAAUAUUUAUGACCUUAUCAUGAAUGCAAAGGGUUUUCCUUACCUAGAAGCUCACACCGAGCCUUAUAUGAGGCAGUUGACAGUUGGUGACGUAGUUUGCGGUCCACUUCAGAUCUUUCGGGGCAUAGAACAGGUUGGCAAAAUAGUACAUGUUCUAAGAACCACGAGGCAUAAUGGAUUUCCCGUAAUUGAUGAGCCUCCGCUUUCUGAGUCUCCAGUUCUUUAUGGUCUAAUCCUCCGUGCUCAUCUACUUGAAUUGCUAAAGAAGAAAGCUUUUGUGCCAACUCCAGUGCCAACAGGCACUGAUGCCUUCAAGCUGUUCUCUGCUGAUGAUUUUGCAAAGAGGGGCUCAGGCAAUGGAGACAAGAUAGAGGAUCUGCAAUUUACCGAAGAAGAGAUGGAGAUGUUUUUAGAUUUACAUCCAUUUACGAAUGCUUCACCUUAUACUGUUGCGGAGACAAUGUCACUGGCUAAGGCUCUCAUACUUUUCCGAGAAGUUGGUUUGAGGCACUUACUGGUGAUACCCAAGAUAUCUGGUAGGCCCCCUGUUGUGGGUAUAUUGACCAGGCACGAUUUCAUGCCAGGACAUAUACUUGGUCUGCAUCCUAUGCUGAUUAGAAGCAGGUGGAAAAGAUUAAGAAUCCGGGCACCUCGUUUAUUCAAACUCUUCUAGAGCGUUGGAGUCAAGCAGACAGAGCUCGCCCUUGAAAAUGAUAUUUGUUCAUUCUCUUAUUUGAGCUCCACAAUAUGCCUGAAGCCAUUGAGACGAGUUCAUAAUGAUCCAUGGAUUUAUAGUUUACAGGAUGGAACCUGCGACACUUGAUUCUUUCAAAUAAAUCCUUACUGCAGUUGGUGAUACAUGUUUUCAAGGAAAUACAAGGAAGGAGGACCGAAAGUUGAAAUUGAAGCCAGAAGCUUGUCAUCAUUCAUCAGGCAGGCUAAAAAUUUAUCUGAAUAUCAGAGAUACUGUAUAGCUAGGGCAACGGAUGAUUAGGGAGACAGAUUAUUCAUGUGAAAGUUCACCAUUAAUUUAUAGCUGACUCUCACUUAACCCCCAUGACUCUCACUCAGCUUCCCUCUACAAGCUGUUGCCAAGACGGCUCUCUACCUAUCUAUUCUUUC